CCUACGGGAGGCAGCAGUGGGGAAUUUUGGACAAUGGGCGAAAGCCUGAUCCAGCAAUGCCGCGUGAGUGAAGAAGGCCUUCGGGUUGUAAAGCUCUUUUGUCAGGGAAGAAACGGUGAGAGCUAAUAUCUCUUGCUAAUGACGGUACCUGAAGAAUAAGCACCGGCUAACUACGUGCCAGCAGCCGCGGUAAUACGUAGGGUGCAAGCGUUAAUCGGAAUUACUGGGCGUAAAGCGUGCGCAGGCGGUUUUGUAAGUCUGAUGUGAAAUCCCCGGGCUCAACCUGGGAAUUGCAUUGGAGACUGCAAGGCUAGAAUCUGGCAGAGGGGGGUAGAAUUCCACGUGUAGCAGUGAAAUGCGUAGAUAUGUGGAGGAACACCGAUGGCGAAGGCAGCCCCCUGGGUCAAGAUUGACGCUCAUGCACGAAAGCGUGGGGAGCAAACAGGAUUAGAUACCCUGGUAGUCCACGCCCUAAACGAUGUCUACUAGUUGUCGGGUCUUAAUUGACUUGGUAACGCAGCUAACGCGUGAAGUAGACCGCCGUCGGGAGGUACGGUCGCGAGAAGUUAAACGUUAACGAAAGUAGUAAGUUAGUACGGACGUGAGACGUUACGGCCGACGGACGACGACGAGGGGAGGGUAGGG
rnacentral:rRNA from 1 species